CGCUUUUUAAAAAUGCUCUAUCUCCUUUUAUUUUAAAGGCUACUGAAACGAAACUUUGAAGACACGUAAUUUAUUUCGAGACUACAUAGACGUGUCUCGAAACUAAAAAAACGGGAAUUUAAAAGAGACAGAAAUAAAUGGAGGAGACGAUGACUCUGAACGAUUGAGUCAGUUUUAAAUUCCACCAUGAAUAAUCGGUCACGCAGCGUAUGCAUCAAAUGCUGGGAGCAUUUAACUUCGUCUGCAUUUCAGUGGAACAGGGAAUUUCUCCGAAUACAAGAGACAUUGACCUUGCGUUUACAGUCAUCGUGGAUCUGGGCUGCGCUCGAGCAUGCUUUCUCCACAAGAAUUUCAUGUCCGCCGACGAUACUGACUGGUAGACAACAUUGAGAGUACAAGCUGACGUCACGUGCAGCGUUGCGCGUAGCGUUACGUAAAAAAACGUGGCUGACGAAUCAGAAACGCAUCGUUCUAUUACUGUUAAGGCCGUGUGAUGAAUCGGCUACGCGGUAAAGUAUAUAAUGGACUUAGCGUGGGUUCAUUACGAUGAAAAAUAACUGGCAUUGGGAGUUAUUUUACAACUGUAAUCCGAUACAAAGAUAAUGUAUCCUCAGAGAUAUGCUUCGAGUGUGAAAUAAUUGUAACGAAACGAGUCGAGUCGUAGUAAUUUACGAAAUACUUCGCUUCCUUUUUCGAAUAUAUUCCCGAGCAAAAUACACAGGCUCACAAAAGUGUUCAAACACUUAUGGAUACCUUUUGUGA
rnacentral:misc_RNA from 1 species